rnacentral:lncRNA from 10 species
UGCAUUGAGAAAGUUCAUUGGUGCCAUUUUUUUCCCAACAGGUUUUGGGAUGCCGCAAACCUCACCCAUAAAAGACGGUGAACUUAAAUUGAUAAAUGUGUGUAUUCUGACUGCUCUGCCAGCUGGCCAUUUCCCUGUUUCUCUUUCGAACUCCUGGCCUCUAGUGAUCCUCCCACCUGGACCUCCCAGUGUUGGGAUUAGAGGUGUGAGCUACUGUGCCCAGCCUCAAAUAAUAUUUUUUUUAAAAGAUUAGCUUGAUCUGGAAAGAAGGAAGAAAGAGAAGCAUAAGACCCAAAAAAGUUAGUAUAGUAGGAGCAAGGUUCUAUUUUUGUGUAACAAGUUAUUACAAAUGUAGUGGCUUGAAACAAUGCUGACUUAUUUAUCUCACAGUUAAGAGUCUCUGCUCAGGGUAUCACACUUAAGGCAUUGACUGGGCUGUGUUCUUAUCUAGAAGCUCUGGGGAUGAAUUCACUUUCAAGAAUGUACAUUCCAGGUGUUGGAAGGACUCAGUUCGUUACAGUUGCAAGACUGAGGCCUUU